rnacentral:tRNA from 1 species
GCCGAGGUGGCGGAAUUGGCAGACGCGCAUGGUUGAGGGCCAUGUGGGAGAAAUCCCGUGCGAGUUCGAGUCUCGCUCUCGGCA